GCAUUUUGUAAUACUGAAUUGUUGGCAGCCUUGACUUGUGAGGAGUUUUUGCUGUGGAGUGUCCUUAUGCCUAGAGCUGACGUGGUGAAGACAGGUAGCCAUCUUAGAAACGGUGUUAAUGUUGUUUGCAUAAUGUUUGAAAUAAUUUUUGUUUAUGACUUGUUGGUUGAAUAUUAUGAUGAUAACGAAUUAUUAAAAUGUGUGGGAAGAAGGAGGAAACAACAAAUUAUAUUAAGUGUUGAUUAUUGUAAAGUUGAAAUUUCUGUAUUCAUUCAUUAUGUAAAUGGAGAGCGGUAUAAGAAGCCGUCCGAUAGAUGGUGUGGUGUGCUCUCUCCCUUAUCUGCGGCGUAUGUCUUGACUUUGUGGUGCAGUGGAUGUUUUUGGUUAUUCAUCAGUGUUUGUGGAGUAUUCAUCGAUGUGUGCACAGCUAGUUUUUCAAUUGUGGACUAGAGAGAAUAUUUAUUAUAAUUGUAAUCAGUUAAAAAUUGUAAGUUCCUUUCUUUCCAAUAAAUUUAAUUUAUCUAAUUAGUAUGGAGUACAUUCUUGAUGUUGUGACGACGUUCUUACGUUGGGUGGACCAGCAUGAAUUUCAUGUGCAUUUCAAAUUUUCGACUGUUAAACGGAAUGAUUCUGAGGGGGAGCGGGGUCGGAACUCGGACAGGGAGAUGGGCGGAUGCCCCGUCCUGUCAGACUGAGUCAAGAUGGCAUGAUUCUCUAUGGUUAAAUCUCAACUCCUUGAAUCAAAUUUGCACAGAAACCUUGUUCUUAUCUCUUCUUAUAAAUAUCUUUGAUCCAACAUUUUCUCUUCUUCGAUUAUGUUUCAAUUUCCUCAUUUACUGCAGCUAUUAACAUCUUUUCAUAAAUAGUGAAUGCCUUUUGCUGCUUAGUGUUCAUUUUGUUUUAC
rnacentral:lncRNA from 1 species